rnacentral:rRNA from 1 species
UUCUUUUGAUUUUGGAGAAAUAAAGGUGAGAGAUUUGUUUAUACAUGCUAGUGUAAGCGAAUAAGUGAGUAAAUUCUGAAAAUAUUCAAUUUAUAUCAGGAUUUGAAAUUUUAAAAGUUUCUAUUCCUAAGACAUAAAGCAAAAGCCACGUUUUAACUGAAACAAAGUAAAAUCUCUGACAGCAGUAAAGAAUUCUAUACAAUUAACAUAAGUUAGAUAUGGGAACUCUCUUAAGUUUUGUCUAAUUAAGUGCCAGCAGACGCGGUUAAACUUAAGAAGCAAAUCUUUAUAACAAAGUUGGUAACAAUAUGUGUAGGUUUAAAGUUUAAAAUGUAUUUUGAAAAUUUUUGAAUUGGUUAAAUAAACAAAAAUUAUUAGUUCAAUAAAGAAGUUAAAAUACUUAAAAUUCUGAAACAUGAAAAUUGAGAAAUUAAAUAGGAUUAGAUACCCUAGUAAACUCUUUUGUAAAUAAAGAUUUAAAUCUACCUGAACAGUACACUUUUAAAAGUGAAAAUCAAAAAUUUUGGCUGUUUAUUUUCUAAUUAGAGGAACAUGUAAUUUAAUUCGAUAAUCCGCGAAAAACCUUUCCUAUUCUUGAAUCCCAGGUACUGCAUGGUCGUCGUCAAUUUAGUUUUAUUAACUAAAUAUAAUUCAAAUAAGAAUAAAGUCAGAUAUUAUGGUCCUUAUGAAUAGGCAUAUUAUGUGUUACAAUUUUUAAGUUAAUAUAAAUUUAAAAAUGAAAUAAAAAUGAAAUUUUUUAAGAAAGAGAAUUUAAUAGUAAUUGAAGAAAUAAUGCUUCAAUGAAUAAGUUCAAAUAUGAGUACAAAUUGCCCGUCGCCUUUAUCAAUGAUUAAAAAUUUCAAAGAUAGAGCAAGUCGUAACAUAGUGGAAGGAAGGGAACUUCUUUCUGCAGAAUAA